UAGUCUCGAUACAAUCAACCGCUUUCGCAUAUACUUUGGAAACUGAAUAAGUUUCUUUGAGACUUACUACACCACAAUACCUUAUUGGUAAUCAAUUGUGUUUCUCCAAAAUAAUAUAAUUGUCUCUUACAGAGUUCUCAAUUAAUUUGGUACUAUCACAUAUUAAUCAAUAUCCAUAUAGUGAAUAUUUCUUUUAAAGAGAAAGUUNNNN
rnacentral:lncRNA from 1 species